AACAGGAUUAGAUACCCUGGUAGUCCGCACGGUAAACGAUGGAUGCCCGCUGUUGACCCACCUGGGCCAGCGGCCAAGCGAAAGCAUUAAGCAUCCCACCUGGGGAGUACGCCGGCAACGGUGAAACUCAAAGGAAUUGACGGGGGCCCGCACAAGCGGAGGAACAUGUGGUUUAAUUCGAUGAUACGCGAGGAACCUUACCCGGGCUUGAAUUGCAGAGGAAAGAUCCAGAGAUGGUGAUGCCCUUCGGGGCCUCUGUGAAGGUGCUGCAUGGUUGUCGUCAGCUCGUGCCGUGAGGUGUCGGCUUAAGUGCCAUAACGAGCGCAACCCCUUUCUUUAGUUGCCAUCAGGUGAUGCUGGGCACUCUGGAGAUACUGCCACCGUAAGGUGUGAGGAAGGUGGGGAUGACGUCAAAUCAGCACGGCCCUUACGUCCGGGGCUACACACGUGUUACAAUGGCCGGUACAGAGAGACGGUUGCUUGCAAAAGUAAUCAAAUCCUUAAAACCGGUCCCAGUUCGGACUGGGGUCUGCAACUCGACCCCACGAAGCUGGAUUCGCUAGUAAUCGCGCAUCAGCCAUGGCGCGGUGAAUACGUUCCCGGGCCUUGUACACACCGCCCGUCAAGCCAUGAAAGCCGGGGGUACCUGAAGUACGUAACCGCAAGGAGCGUCCUAGGGUAAAACUAGUGACUGGGGCUAAGUCGUAACAAGGUAACC
rnacentral:rRNA from 1 species